UGGGGAAUAUUGCACAAUGGGCGAAAGCCUGAUGCAGCAACGCCGCGUGAACGAUGAAGGUCUUCGGAUCGUAAAGUUCUGUUGCAGGGGAAGAUAAUGACGGUACCCUGUGAGGAAGCCCCGGCUAACUACGUGCCAGCAGCCGCGGUAAUACGUAGGGGGCUAGCGUUAUCCGGAUUUACUGGGCGUAAAGGGUGCGUAGGUGGUCUUUCAAGUCAGUGGUUAAAGCCUACGGCUCAACCGUAGUCAGCCUCUGAAACUGGAAGACUUGAGUGCAGGAGAGGAAAGUGGAAUUCCCAGUGUAGCGGUGAAAUGCGUAGAUAUUGGGAGGAACACCAGUAGCGAAGGCGGCUUUCUGGACUGCAACUGACACUGAGGCACGAAAGCGUGGGUAGCAAACAGG
rnacentral:rRNA from 1 species